rnacentral:rRNA from 1 species
GAUGAACGCUGGCGGCGUGCCUAAUACAUGCAAGUCGAGCGAACGGACGAGAAGCUUGCUUCUCUGAUGUUAGCGGCGGACGGGUGAGUAACACGUGGAUAACCUACCUAUCAGACUGGGAUCACUUCGGGAAACCGGCGCUAAUACCGGAUGAUCUUUUGAACCGCAUGGUUCAAAAGUGAAAGACGGUCUUGCUGUCACUUAUAGAUGGAUCCGCGCUGCAUUAGCUAGUUGGUAAGGUAACGGCUUACCAAGGCAACGAUGCAUAGCCGACCUGAGAGGGUGAUAGGCCACCCUGGAACUGGGACACGGUCAAGACUCCUACGGGAGGGAGCAGUAGCGAAUCUUCCGCAAUGGGCGAAAGCCUGACGGAGCAACGCCGCGUGAGUGAUGAAGGUCUUCGGAUCGUAAAACUCUGUUAUUAGGGAAGAACAGAUGUGUAAGUAAAUGUGCACAUCUUGACGGUACCUAAUCAGAAAGCCACGGCUAACUACGUG